GACAGAGGGUGCAAACGUUGUUCGGAAUUACUGGGCGUAAAGCGUGCGCAGGCGGUUGUGCAAGACAGAUGUGAAAUCCCCGGGCUUAACCUGGGAAUGGCAUUUGUGACUGCACGGCUAGAGUGUGUCAGAGGGGGGUAGAAUUCCACGUGUAGCAGUGAAAUGCGUAGAUAUGUGGAGGAAUACCGAUGGCGAAGGCAGCCCCCUGGGAUAACACUGACGCUCAUGCACGAAAGCGUGGGGAGCAAACAGG
rnacentral:rRNA from 1 species